UAGUCCACGCCGUAAACGAUGUCUACUUGGAGGUUGGUGUCUUGAACACUGGCUUUCGGAGCUAACGCGUUAAGUAGACCGCCUGGGGAGUACGGUCGCAAGAUUAAAACUCAAAUGAAUUGACGGGGGCCCGCACAAGCGGUGGAGCAUGUGGUUUAAUUCGAUGCAACGCGAAGAACCUUACCUACUCUUGACAUCCACGGAAUCCUGCAGAGAUGCGGGAGUGCCUUCGGGAACCGUGAGACAGGUGCUGCAUGGCUGUCGUCAGCUCGUGUUGUGAAAUGUUGGGUUAAGUCCCGCAACGAGCGCAACCCUUAUCCUUGUUUGCCAGCACUUCGGGUGGGAACUCCAGGGAGACUGCCGGUGAUAAACCGGAGGAAGGUGGGGACGACGUCAAGUCAUCAUGGCCCUUACGAGUAGGGCUACACACGUGCUACAAUGGCAUAUACAGAGGGCAGCAAGACCACGAGGUGGAGCGAAUCCCACAAAGUAUGUCGUAGUCCGGAUUGGAGUCUGCAACUCGACUCCAUGAAGUCGGAAUCGCUAGUAAUCGUGGAUCAGAAUGCCACGGUGAAUACGUUCCCGGGCCUUGUACACACCGCCCGUCACACCAUGGGAGUGGGCUGCACCAGAAGUAGAUAGCUUAACCUUCGGGAGGGCGUU
rnacentral:rRNA from 1 species